UAGGCAAUGAAUCGGGCCUGUGAUCAAGCUGCAGAAGUCUCUUUGGAUGGAAAGAGUCAAUGUGUGAACCAUUAAUUGUAUAUUGGGUAUUUGCAUUUGAUUUACUGGAAGCUUAAUGAAACUUGACUAAAUGGAUAAUGCUGUCAAAAUCAGUUUUGUAGUUAGUUUGUUGGGAGGGGAAGGAGAUAAUAUUGUUUUCUCAGCCAACAGUUUGGCUCUAGGCCACGUGCCAUCAGGGAACACAGUUCAAUAGGAAAAAAAAAAAUAUGUUUUUUAAAAAUAUUAUAAAUUGCAUCCAUUUCUCAUCCCAUAUCUUUGAUUUUGUCCCUUUGAAUUUAGGAUUAAAUGAAAAGCAGACCCCACACAAAUGUAUGGCAAAUCCUUACUUAGCUCUUCAUGCUUAAAUAAUUAGACCAUGUUAGUUCAAAUACUUGUAAUGGAAUGUUGUCUCUGUCUACAUCAAUUAGUGUUACAGCAGCAUUAAUAUAAAAGAUAGAACUUUGGCAAGCAUGGCCUUGCUAGCAAAAGCAAUUAGAAAAAAUGACUUCUUAAGGAUCUUUAUAUUUUUAUUUAGUUGUUAUUUAAAAAUAAAUACAUUAAUGAAGCCAUAGCACUUGAAGCUCUUCCUUAUUUUUUUCUGACGUUGACAUCUAGAGAAUUAAUUUAAUGUAUUUUUGUGCACAUAAAGAACAGAUUUGAAUAAGUAUGCUGAGUUUAAAUUUUGGUUUCGAUGUGAGAACACACUUUAAAUUGUCUGCCGUCAAAAUUAUUUCUUUUGAAGUUGCUAGUCCUGAAGUUCCACAACAGAUCCUUUAGUUUUAGAGCUUCAAAACUAGAGAUUUUAAGAUUUUUAAAUGGCAAAACACUUUAAUUUCCUGUCUCUUAAGCAGCUGGAAGCAAUACAGUUUUUAAGCUUAAUUCUUUAAAUGCUGAGAACUCGGACAUAAUUUUAAUGCAAUCCUUCCUUGUCCCUAAAAUAAAAAAAUCUAACCAAGGCCAAAGUAGGUAUUUUCUCUGCUGUUCAGGGAAGAAAUGAGGGUCAUGCUCGUUACAUUCUAAUAUAGUCAGAAGAACACCAUAGAUGUGAAAGCAUUAAGUGAACCUUCUGGGGCACUCAAGAUGAUGCCAGUAUAUUCCCUCUUUUCUCUUAAGGUUCAUUUCUGCAAGGUACUGAGUUUUAACCCUAUUCUACCAAAAUGUUUGAGUGGGAUACCCGCAGAGUCAGUGGUGCAGUUCACCCCACUGAAGGCUAUACCUGUGUUGCCCGAGACUGGGCCUAAAAUACAAGGGAAAUCUCUUUCCAAACCCGAGGAAGUUAAAUACAAACAAAGGACAGUCGUUCACCAUUGCGUACCUUGCAGCCUACCUUGGGAUGACUUUAUACCUUCUAUUGUAAAACUCCACACUUGUGAGACUUUAAAAGAACUACCUAUGUUUGCAAGGCCAAACCAUAUUGAGCUUAUUACUGAAUCUGCUUUUGUAGAAGGCAGUUCUGAGAUUGAGAAGCUGGCUGUUCUGAAUGAAUGCACUCUAUAUUUGACUGUCCAAUAAAGUGUUCUGAAUGCUGA